GUCACACUGAGACUGCCCCUGUACACUCUGUUCUUCUCACUGUCUCACCCUGGCCGCCUGACUGUGGAACAUGUUAUACAGCAGCCAGGUUCCGCCGGAUACUGUGCACGUAUCUUUUCCCCGCUGCCCGCCUAUAGCGCUAUCAGCUAGAUACAGCAAGCAGCCGCCGGCGUCCUUAACUACCGGCCCGGCAUGCCUCAGUACGGCUUCCUUGGAAACCGCCCGUUGAUGUUCUUAGUUAUGCACCCAUCAUGCAACGGUGCUUUUCCCGACGUCACGUUCAGAGCGUCCAUUACGUCACUGUGCCGGCGUCACCUGACCUAGGGCGGGAGAGAAACAUUGUUGGACCUAGUGUCCUCUUAUAAAAGACACUACUAACAAAGCACCAGACAAAGAAGUUCAUCUAACAGAGAAGUACCAUUACUCUGAUAACAGCAAAAAGAUAGCAGCGCUAGAGACCGGUAAUAACGCUGUGUACAGAUGAGCCACAAUAACCCAUCAUAGAGAAUCUGUCACUUUACUAAAACACAUUACAUAUAAAAUUCAGCCAUAUUAUUACCUGUGUUAGCAAAACAUAUAAUUA